rnacentral:rRNA from 1 species
UACGUAGGGUGCGAGCGUUAAUCGGAAUUACUGGGCGUAAAGCGUGCGUAGGCGGUUCGUUAAGUUCGUUGUGAAAGCCCCGGGCUCAACCUGGGAAUGGCAAUGGAAACUGGCGGGCUGGAGUAUGGCAGAGGGGGGUGGAAUUCCGCGUGUAGCAGUGAAAUGCGUAGAGAUGCGGAGGAACACCGACGGCGAAGGCAGCCCCCUGGGCCAAUACUGACGCUCAGGCACGAAAGCGUGGGGAGCAAACAGG